UGUGCGCGUUCACUGAGACACAGCCAGAAACGCAAGCGCUCACGCCUAUCUUGACGCGCCAACCCCUCACUGCGCCUCCCCCUCCCAUACACACACACACGCACACGGCACGCAUGCACCAACCCCUUCAUCCCUUAUUCACAUUGGCAUUUUGUACCUCUACCCUGCAGCGUUGUAUUUCAGCGGUGCGCCGCGACGGCGUGCGACAGCACACGAAUACACGAAAAAUAAAAGGAGAGAAAGAGCCACCCCGUCCCGCCGUACAUUUCCUUUACGGGAUCACAGGCGAAUACAUUAACGCGCUGCCAAGUGCACGCACCAUACACACGCAUACACAGAGAGACACACAAGCGAGAUGUUGAGCAGUCGUGGGGCCAUCACGACUAACGUGGCGCUCGCUGAGUGUGCCGCAGGGCAAAACGCAUCAGAUAAGAGCGUGUUCCUCUUGAGUGAGUUAGAGAAGGUCUGGGUGGCGGUGGCGGUAGUGGCGCGUCGCCUGCUCCUGGACGGCAGCGCGGUACAAAUCGCACCAUUCGGCGCGCUGUGGACCGAGGAGUACGUUCUGCUGCGCGAUCGGCAGCAAAACCCCUACAAAACGCGUAAGCUGUGCUUUGGCAUCAACCUCAACUACGCAAAUCGUUACGGUGUGGACACCGGCAAAGUGCCACUGGAGCGGCCUGGCGGGGAAGGCUAUGUGCGAGUGAGCAUGGCUGACAUUGUAGCAGUGUGUGGCGUGCCCGCGCGCAUUGCCUCCGCGGCGCUCAAAGAGUUCUUUCUGUACCUUGGCGAGGGGCUUUCGCGCGGACGCGUGCUCCAGCUGUCGCUGCCAGGCGUCGCCACCAUUUCCAUGAAGAAACAGAAAGUGGUAAUCAGCAUGGAUGGGGAGCUGUGCAUCGACAUGUACGAGAUCGACAGCCGCAAGUGGCCUGGAGAGCUGCAGCGCGAAGGGUAUGAGGCACUGCAGAAGCGGGCGGACACCACGACAUCCUCCGCGUUCAGCUCGGCGGCCGCAUCGCGUCCGUCGACGUCAUGCCUCUCACGGGCCAGCUGGCGUGCCACCCCGGCGUCCACGGCAGGCGACGGCAUAGAGGCGAAGAAGCCAGUCUUCAUCGCUGCCUCGCCGUCUGGUCGACUCUUUGACGAGAUCGCACAGCAGGAAGAGCAGCGCAGAAGGGCGUCACACUCAGCCGCGGUCGCAGAGCGAGAGAUGCGCCGCCUCCAGGAGGACCUGGACCGGCGUAUUGAACGCUAUGACGGUGGCAGAUGCUAUGCUGAUCCCGUUGAAAACGCGGUGAACUACGCAGAGGCUGCCGGUGCAGAUGACUUCGACGACGAGCUACGACGCGUCGGCCUGCCACCGCCGAGUGCGUCCGGGGAGUCUGUCUACAACAUCAUCACUCGCUCUGAUCCUCGGGACACGGCCGCAGCCCCCGAUCGAUCUCACCAGCACGGGCAGCGUCACCCCCAUUCGGCUUCUUCGGCACCCUCGCACCGCCACGGCGUGGCGGCCAAUGACGAACCUGAGGUGGAGGUCAUAGAAAUCGUCGAUGAGUCCGACAUGGCGAAGCCGCCCACCAUGCCAGCAGAGAACCGCCCCCUCGCUCGCAAGGACGCGGAACUAGAACGUAUUCUGCGUGACGAGGAGCCUUUUAGCCGACCCAUUUCCCGCCGCACGUACCACGAGUCAAGUGCGGCACGGGACCUGAUCUACUCUCAGCCGUACGAGGCGCCUUCACGCGGGGCGGGCUCAGCAGCAACAGUGGGGCCGUCACCGGCGACACACGAAAAGCACUCCGCGAGCAUAGACACUAGCACACACAUCGACGCCCUCGCAGCGGCCACAAGGCCCGGGCAGACCCAUGAGGGCGUACCCCGCUUUGGGCGCAAACGGUUUGAUUCAAAACAGCUCGACAGCGAUCAUAUCGGAACUCUUCUUCAAUACCGCGAGUAUUGAGACGCAUGUAGCGGCUAUUCACGGACAGAGUCUCAGUGGCGUAGCACCACCACUUGGCGUGCGGCCGUGAUGCAGGAAGACUUGCUACGCGAUCGUCUCAUGCGCGACUAAACUUGCGAUGGCUUGCCUUCACGAUGCGCCUCUCCUCCCGCCCUCAUGAUGGUGUGUUGGCUGUGCGUAUGGUGCCCUUUUGUUUCUUUUUGUGUGUGUGUGUGUCUGAGGCUCAUGUGCCUGCAUGCCUUUUUUUUUGCGUCUUCUGUUUCAGAGAAGGAUAAGGUGCACCGCUCUUGCCACCGCACUCGCUGAGCGAGGGCAGCGGAAAGGUCGAUCCAUGUGAGUACGUAGGCGCACGAGCUGCCUAGUGCCUCACUCUCGCAGACCCGAUGAUC
rnacentral:misc_RNA from 1 species